CUCUGGGUCACCUCCCACCCGUGUUUAUUUUACCUUGUUGCUUCGGCGGGCCCGCCUUAACUGGCCGCCGGGGGGCUUACGCCCCCGGGCCCGCGCCCGCCGAAGACACCCUCGAACUCUGUCUGAAGAUUGUAGUCUGAGUGAAAAUAUAAAUUAUUUAAAACUUUCAACAACGGAUCUCUUGGUUCCGGCAUCGAUGAAGAACGCAGCGAAAUGCGAUACGUAAUGUGAAUUGCAAAUUCAGUGAAUCAUCGAGUCUUUGAACGCACAUUGCGCCCCCUGGUAUUCCGGGGGGCAUGCCUGUCCGAGCGUCAUUUCUGCCCUCAAGCACGGCUUGUGUGUUGGGCCCCGUCCUCCGAUCCCGGGGGACGGGCCCGAAAGGCAGCGGCGGCACCGCGUCCGGUCCUCGAGCGUAUGGGGCUUUGUCACCCGCUCUGUAGGCCCGGCCGGCGCUUGCCGAUCAACCCAAAUUUUUAUCCAGGUUGACCUCGGAUCAGGUAGGGAUACCCGCUGAACUUAAGCAUAUCAAUAAGCGGAGG
rnacentral:rRNA from 1 species